rnacentral:rRNA from 1 species
CCUACGGGACGCAGCAGUGAGGAAUAUUGGUCAAUGGGCGCAAGCCUGAACCAGCCAAGUCGCGUGAGGGAUGACGGUCCUAUGGAUUGUAAACCUCUUUUGUCGGGGAGCAAGGCCCGCUACGUGUGGCGGGAUCGAGAGUACCCGAAGAAAAAGCAUCGGCUAACUCCUUGCCAGCAGCCGCGGUAAUACGGAGGAUGCGAGCGUUAUCCGGAUUUAUUGGGUUUAAAGGGUGCGUAGGCGGAAGGCCAAGUCAGCGGUAAAAUCUCGGGGCUCAACCUC